GGGAAUUACCACUCUGUGCCUCUUUCCCAGGCACAGGGAACAGGAAACACUUGACAGACAAUUUUUCUGGAAGAAGUAACUUCCCUGGUCUGAUAUAUGGGAUCCCCUCCCCGGGAGUCCUGGAGGGGAGGAGUUUUCACGGUUGUUUUAAUAUUUUAAAAAACAUAAUAAGCUUACAAUAUCUGGCGGCUCUGAAUCCGGCUGCCUUUUCCUCAGGGAAGAAAAUCUCUGUUGGCUGCGAGCAGAGAAGCGGCGGAAAGACUCCCUGCUGCGGGAAGCCAGGUGUCGGAAGGAGGAGGCGCGCUUGAAGGGGGCCCGGCUGGUGGGCUCCCCGCCCGUCCGAUCGUGGCCCACCGUGGUGGUCACUAAACUGAGGGCUUCCUGGAAGGACCUCCUCAUGGUGCCCAUCCACUGAGCCAUGUGGGUUUGGGCCACGGUUCCAACACUUUCUGCUCAUGGAAGUUCUGGGCUUGCUUGGAGAAAAAACCCAGCAGCCCUCUUCAGCCAAACCAAAGGUUAAACAUCGCUGAGCCAGCAGCUGGCUGCAUCCGCGGGUCUUGCUCAGAAUGAAGAGGCAGCGAAGUGUCAUGUGGGGAGCCACCCCACUGGAGUUGUAAAGUCAACACGCUGGGCAGUCCAGUUUCCUGUUCCAAGGGAGCGCUCACCCUGCUGGAUCGGUGGGGACGAACCCAGGUGGCCACACUCACUCUAGGGUGUGACAGUCCCCAAGAGGUGGGGGGGGGAAGAGCAGGUGGUCACGAUUCCCCUUGUCUUCACUCUCCUCCAGAGCAUCCACAGUAAGCUCCUAUAGUGUGCAGGCCUCUUCAUAGCUCCGCUCCCUCACCAGGGAGGCCAAGGACUUCCAGUGUGGGAAUGGGGACUGACAAGAAAAAGAAUGGAGUCCGCCCCACCUGGCUCCAGGAAAGCCACACCAGAAAAAUCUAGAGAGCUGGAAGAAGACGCAGCUUUUCCACAGACUAUCUGUCCACAGAGGUGCGAAAUCUACUGGGAUCAAUCCCAACCUUCAGGAGGAAAAAAUUUAAAUCAAAGCAGUGAGUAAAACACCUUUAAAAUGGUCAUACCCAGUGCUGACAAGGCUGUGCUGAAACAGACACAUAUAUCCACAACAGAUGGAAAUGAAAAUUGGUAUAUAUUUCCUUGAGGAAAUUUAACACCCAAGAUCAAAAGUGUUAAAAAUAAUGGCCCUCCCAUUAAUGACAUGCAUGCUGAAGUGUAGAGUUGAAGUGUACUGAUGUCUAUAAUUUACUUUGAAAUGCAUUAAAAAAAAUGUACCAUGGAUGGAUGGCUAGAGUUUUAUAAAUGUUAGCAAUUAUAGAAUCUAGCUCAUAGAUAUAUGUGUGUUCCCUGUACAAUUUUUAUGUAUGUUUGAAAAUUUUCAUAAUAAAUGGCUGGUGGGGAAGUGCCCGACUUUUAGCCCUACAGUUAAGGAUCCAAUUCCACACUCAGGAAUCUGCCUUUGUAAAUAAGAAUGGAUGUAUACAAAUGCUCUGCUACAAUGAUAUUCAUUACGGUCACAUAUAUAACUAUGAAAAAUUAGUAAGAACCUAAUUGUUCAACAAAAAGGGACUUGCUUAGUGCUGUGCCAAGCCAUACUGGAGCCAGAGACAAAAGAAAAAAAUCAGUAAUACUGAUCCUGUCUUUAUUUACAGUGUUGAUUCUUUGUUAAUCACGGAUUUUUGCAUUAAUUUUUAUUCUUUUAAAAUGCUAAAUGAAACAUUAUGUAUCUUGAUUACUGACUUUUUUUGGUGCCCCCUAAUUUUGUGUCCUAAGUGAGUGCCUCACUCACCUCACCUAGUCCCAGCCCUGGA